UGACAUUUACAGAAAAAUGCAGGUGUCUGGGGCGACGGGGGCAACUGGGGCAACUGACCUAGCAUCAAAGUCGCAAGUUGUCUCCGAUACCAGUAAUGUGAAGUUGAAGGAGGAGAUUGAAGACACUUACCACAUGAAAAUUCGCUGUGUGUGUACAAGCUCAUUACAAACUGAAACAAUGAUUCAGUGUGAAGACAGAAGAUGUCACACAUGGCAACAUAUUCGUUGUGUUGUCAUACCAGAGAAGCCAAUGGAGGGUGGUGAUCCACCAAUUCCGCCUACUACUUUUUACUGUGAAGUGUGCAGACUGGUUCGUGCUGACCCCUUCUGGGUGACAAUGGGACACCCUUUGUAUCCUGCAAAGUUGGCUAUUACAAGCGUUCCUGCCGAUGGGACGAACCCUGUGCAGAGUAUCGAGAAAACAUUUCAGAUCACUAGAGCUGACAGAGACUUGUUGGCGAAACAGGAAUAUGAUCUCCAGGCUUGGUGCAUGCUUCUCAACGACAAGGUACAAUUUAGAAUGCAGUGGCCUCAAUAUGCAGAUUUGCAGGUGAAUGGGGUUCCAGUGCGCGCGAUAAAUAGACCUGGCUCUCAAUUGCUGGGUGCUAAUGGUCGAGAUGAUGGCCCUAUAAUCACACCAUGCACCAGAGAUGGAAUCAACAAGGUCACAUUAACAGGAUGUGAUGCUCGUGUCUUUUGCUUGGGGGUCAGACUUGUGAAGCGGCGAACUGUUCAGCAGGUUCUUAGUAUGAUACCGAAGGUGUCAGAUGGUGAGAAAUUUGAAGAUGCCCUUGCUCGCGUUCGUCGCUGUGUUGGUGGUGGGACAGCCACGGAAAAUGCUGAUAGUGAUAGUGAUCUGGAAGUUGUUGCUGAUUGUAUUCCUGUCAAUCUUCGCUGCCCUAUGAGUGGUUCAAGGAUGAAAAUUGCUGGAAGAUUCAAACCUUGUAUACACAUGGGCUGCUUUGAUCUUGACGUCUUUGUUGAAAUGAAUCAAAGGUCGAGGAAGUGGCAAUGCCCUAUCUGUCUUAAGAACUACUCUUUGGAGCAUGUUAUCAUAGAUCCAUAUUUCAAUCGAAUUACUUCUCAGAUGCGUAGUUGUGGAGAAGAUGUCACAGAAAUCGAAGUGAAACCUGAUGGUUCUUGGCGCGCGAAGACAGAAUCUGAUCGAAGGAGUCUUGGAGAUCUUGGACGUUGGCAUUUACCUGAUGGGUCUCUGAGUGAAUCUCCAGAUAUAGAGUCGAAGCCUAAGCCUGAAAUUCUUAAGCAGGUUAAACAGGAAGGAGGCUCUGAUGGAAAUGGCCUUAAAGUUGGAUUGAAGAAGAACAGGGACGGAUUGUGGGAAAUCAGCAAACCUGAAGACCAGACAUUUUCAUCUGGAAAUAGAUUGAGAGAAAAUUUUGGUCAGGAUGUCAUUCCAAUGAGCAGCAGUGCCACUGGAAGUGGCAAAGAAGGUGAAGAUCGCAGUGUUAAUCAGGAUGGUAAUGGGAACCUUGAAUUCUCGAACAAUGCAUUUGAUCUUGAGGCCAUCUCUCUUAAUAUUGACCCACCAUAUGGUUUUGGCAACGGAAAUCCGUCAAUACCAGCAGGAGAUGCUGAAGUUAUUGUACUAAGUGAUUCUGAUGAAGAGAAUGAGCCAAUUAUCCCAUCUGGAGCUGUCUUUAAUAACAACCAUAGUGAUGCACCUGUAGUUUCUUUUCCAGCUCAACCACUAGGAAUUCCGGAUUCUUUUCAUGAUUCUGCGCUUGUUAACGGUGGGAAUUCAUGCCUGGGGCUGUUCAAUUCUAAUGACGAUGAAUUUGGGAUGAACUUGUGGUCUUUGCCUUCUGGAACCCAAGGUGGCCCUGGUUUUCAGUUAUUUAGUUCUGAUGCUGAUGUUUCAGGAUCUUUAGUAGAUGUGCAACAUGAAUCUAUUAACUGUACCAGUUCUAUGAGUGGGUACGGGUUGGGUGCAGAGAGUGGCAUUGGAUCUGCUUCUCUUCUUCCUGAAACAUACACCGAUCGCCCUAAUGCUGAUAUAAAUGAUAGUUUAGUUGAUAAUCCCCUUGGAUUUAGUGGCAAUGAUCCCUCACUUCAAAUAUUUCUUCCUACUAGACCAUCAAUUACGUCAGUCGAGGCUGCGAGGGAUCAGCCUGAUGUUUCAAAUGGCGUUGGUACUGAGGAUUGGAUCUCACUUAGGCUUGGUGGUGAUGGAGGGGUUCCUGGUGAUACUGCAGUUGCAAAUGGGUUAAGCUCUGGGCAGCAAGUACAAACUAAAGACACUGCGUUGGACUCAUUGGCUGACACUGGUAGUGAUGCUCCUGUCUGUGCAGCUUCAUUGCUUAUUGGUAUGAAUGACAGCAGAUCAACUAAGAGCAGUAGAGAACGAUCAGAUAGUCCUUUUACAUUUCCUCGUCAACGUCGUUCUGUAAGACCAAGAUUGUAUCUAAGUAUUGAUUCGGAUUCUGAAUAGGAGCAGAUUCCAUGGUGGCAGAACAAUGAUUACUGUUGCUAAGCAAAGACAUUGGAUAUGACGAGAUGAGGUUGCUAGUGAACACAAAUUGGUCAACAAGAAACUAUCUUCUCACAUCUGUGCUGGCGACGUAGGAGUUUUCUUAGUGGACCAAUCUUAUUUUUUUUCUCUUCCGUUUCCGGAUGGAAUACUUGGAAGGUGACUCGCUGGUGAACUGUAAAUUUUGGACAGCUUAGCUCAGGACAAGAUCUUCUAGUAACGUCCACUGGUAAAUCCGGAGGGGGAGGCAUUUUAGCGCUUUGAGAUCUCCUCUUGCCAUUUGUGAAGCCAGUAGCCUGUAAAUCGGUUUAAUUAAACUAACUUACAAAAAUGUAUAAUGUUUUGAAUGUGUUUAACCGUUAAUGGACCUUUUAAGGUCGGGCUCAAUAUCCUGAUAAUUUUGGUGCGAAGGAAGGUGGUAAAAGGAAUAGUGAUAGACUCUUUGAUUUCGGUUCUUUAUUUUUAGUUGAUGCAUUUAGAAUAGGUAAGGAUUGUGGAACCCGUGAUAAGAGCUUGUUCUAUGAUAAUGUCCUGUAGGUGGCGGGG
rnacentral:misc_RNA from 1 species